rnacentral:lncRNA from 1 species
UUAGAUUGAUUAUUCAGUAAAUUUUUUUAUUUAAUUGUUAUAUUGGUUGUUUUGUUGUAGAGGAUGUUAGAGAAUAUGUUACAUUGCUAUCUACAAAUUCAAGAACUAAAUACCACAGUUGGAUGGAAAGCAAUUCGAUAUAUGCUGAUCCAAGGAAGUACAAAUAUGAAGAAUUUCAAGAGGAUUUGUUUGGUGUACUCAAGAUAAUCAGUGGAAGCAAAGGUCCAAAAAAAAAAAACUAUAAUUCAUUCGGAUUUGAUGAUCCUUAUAAUUGUAUUUUAAUGCUUUACGAUGCAUCUUCAAUUUUUCGGAAAAAAUAAUAUUGAGAUGUUUUUUUCCUAUUAGCGUCUAAAAUUUUUAGUUUAAUGAAAUUCGCUUUUUACAA